GGCAGCACAGUUUUUAAAGCACUUGGCUGCUAAUCAAAAGGUCAGUGGUUCCAAUCCACUUGCUGCUC
rnacentral:tRNA from 1 species